UGGCCUCACACAGCUCACAGCAACCUCCACCUCCUGGGCUUAGGAGAUUCUCUUGCCUCAGCCUCCGGAGUAGCUGGGACUACAGGCGCCCGCCACAAGGCCCGGCUAUUUUUUUGGUUGCAGUUUGGUCGGGGCCGGGUUUGAACCCACCACCCUCGGUAUAUGGGGCCGGCGCCUCACCGACUGAGCCACAGGCGCCGCCCGAGCCCAGGGCUUCCUACUCGCUGCUCGCGGCAGCCACUCCUCCGGCGCAGGCGGGACUGGGCACACAGCCCGCGGGGGGUCGGGGUUGGGAGUGGGUGGGUUAGACUUUGUUUCUGGCUGCUCAGACCCAACAGCCUCGGUCCCAUCAGAAGGGCCUGGCUGCGCCCCUCCUCGGCGUCCGGGUCUGCGGGCCCCGGGAGGGGGAGUCGUUUAGUUGUUACUUACGGUAAGGCUUAGUUGCUGUGAAAAAAAGCUCAGAAAAGGACGGCGCCUGUGGCUCAGUGGUGCCUAACUAACAGGAUAUGACAAUGGUGAUGCAAUGUUAUGCUGGACUCUGUCUAAGCAGUCUGAAGCAAGAACUUCUUGAGGGCUGGAUGAAAGAUUCCAGUUGGUCCAUUUGUGCUCUAAUCUAAUGUGAGUAGCAGCCAAGGAUCAUCAGACAUCAGAGGAAAACCUCCACUGGGAAAGACAAACUGAAACAGAGAGAAAAGGAACUGGGAUGAAAAGAGAACAGAAAUGAAUAGAAGAAAAAGCCAAAA